rnacentral:lncRNA from 1 species
AGCUUCAGUACCAUCAGAUUCAGAGAUCACCCGCUAGAUUGGACUGAUCUCAGACUAAGUCAAAUCAUAUUCAUUAUUAGUGUAUACAGAGAUCACCCGCUAGAUAGGACUAGUCUCAAAUUAAGAUAAGUACUCUCAUUAUCAGUAGAUACAGAGAUCACCCGCUAUAUAGGAUGGAUCUCAGAUUUUAGUCGAGCAUUCCCAUUAUCAUUAGAUUCAG